rnacentral:rRNA from 1 species
UACGGGGGGGGCAAGCGUUGUUCGGAAUUACUGGGCGUAAAGGGCUCGUAGGUGGCCAACUAAGUCAGACGUGAAAUCCCUCGGCUUAACCGGGGAACUGCGUCUGAUACUGGAUGGCUUGAGUUUGGGAGAGGGAUGCGGAAUUCCAGGUGUAGCGGUGAAAUGCGUAGAUAUCUGGAGGAACACCUGAGGCGAAGGCGGGCUACUGGGCCGAUACUGACGCUGAGGCGCGAAAGCUAGGGGAGCGAACGGG